GCCGGGCGUGGUCGCGCACACCUGUAGUCCCAGCUACUUGGGAGGCUGAGGUAGGAGGAUCACCUGAGCCUGGGGAGGCUGAGGCUGCAGUGAGCUAUGAUAGUAACACUGCCCUUCAGCCUGGGUGACAGAGUGAGACCUUGUCUCUA
ensembl:misc_RNA Metazoa_SRP Metazoan signal recognition particle RNA